AGAAAAGAAAAGAAAAGAAAAGAAAAGAAAAGAAAAGAAAAGAAAAGAAAAGAAAAGAAAAGAAAAGAAAAGAAAAGAAAAGAAAAGAAAAGAAAAAAAGGAAAGAAAGGGGCAGGGGCAGGGGCAGGAGCAGGGGCAAGAGCAAGGGGAAAGGCAAAGCAAGGCAAGGGCAGGGCAGGGAAGUUUCAGGGAAGGGAAGUUUCAGGGAAGUUUCAGGGAAGGGAAGUUUCCGGGAAGGGAAGUUUCCGGGAAGGGAAGUUUCCGGGAAGGGAAGGGAAGUUUCAGGGAAGGGAAGGGAAGGGAAGGGAAGGCCUGAGAGGGCUUAGGGACCAUUAGUAGAGAAGAAGUAUAUCUUUUCCCCCAUUUACUUAAACGUUUGAAAGCACAA
rnacentral:lncRNA from 12 species